rnacentral:tRNA from 1 species
GGGCCGUUAGCUCAACGGUAGAGCAUCCGGCUUUUAACCGGCAGGUUCCGGGUUCGAAUCCCGGGCGGCCCA